CCUACGGGUUGCAGCAGUGGGGAAUAUUGCACAAUGGGCGCAAGCCUGAUGCAGCCAUGCCGCGUGUGUGAAGAAGGCCUUCGGGUUGUAAAGCACUUUCAGCGGGGAGGAAGGCGAUAAGAUUAAUAACCUUGUCGAUUGACGUUACCCGCAGAAGAAGCACCGGCUAACUCCGUGCCAGCAGCCGCGGUAAUACGGAGGGUGCAAGCGUUAAUCGGAAUUACUGGGCGUAAAGCGCACGCAGGCGGUUUGUUAAGUCAGAUGUGAAAUCCCCGGGCUCAACCUGGGAACUGCAUCUGAUACUGGCAAGCUUGAGUCUCGUAGAGGGGGGUAGAAUUCCAGGUGUAGCGGUGAAAUGCGUAGAGAUCUGGAGGAAUACCGGUGGCGAAGGCGGCCCCCUGGACGAAGACUGACGCUCAGGUGCGAAAGCGUGGGGAGCAAACAGGAUUAGAUACCCUUGUAGUC
rnacentral:rRNA from 1 species